AGUGCUGACUCACUGUUCGACUGCAGUAGCACAGAACAUCGUGCCAUGGUCCCCAUGGCAACGGGGAACUUAGGAUGCGACUGCAGGGUUGAAGGAGAUCGGUCACGAAAAACAAAAACGGACAGGCAGGCGUGGUCCGGUCAGGUCCAGGCCGGGUCGCCGGCCCCUUCUACCUCUCCUGGGAGGGACAGACGACUUGAAGUGUAUCGCAGGGAUGGAAGCAGGAAACACCUCAAGCCACGUCGGAACAGCCCAAGCCUGGAGUUGUGACGGUGGCCGUUAGUAAAAGGUGCUGUACAGAGCGGGGAAGUUCAGGUCCAACACUAAGGCGUUCAUGGCAUCCUGAAACAGAAGGCAAGACGCAGGGGUGAAGGUCUGACCUCGCUUCAUCAUCUUCUACCCACGUGGACCAAAUGAUUAAACCUUACAAAAGGUGUCAGCAAAAGUGAGCACAAAGCCCCCUGAUUACACUUGGCAGCAGAAAUCACCAAGAGACCCUUAUAUCUGAUUCAGGACAUCACUGGCCAGAGUGGGGUCAGAGCGUAGUCUGGACACUGGACCAUGUCCUGCCUUGAAGCAGCGUGGCACACAGACUGCGGGCACGGGUGGCCCGUGACAGAGCGGUGGAGUCACAG